AAACAGGAGAAGAGAACUGGGAAGAACUUGAGCAUCUGCUCCUGGCCCUGCCUCAAACAGUUCAAGGACUACUUUAUCAUGGCUGAAGUUAAAGUCAAAGUGACAGAAGCUUGAAGUAGGUGGUCACAUGACAUCCACAGUGAGGAGCGAACAGAGGGCAAAGAAUGCAUCCUGCUGCCUAGUCCCCUUUCUAAGCAUACACUGUGUAUUCCAGGACCCCAGCCAGGGAAUGGCUCCACCCACAGUGGGCAGCUCUCAGCCACCAAGACCACGAUGCUUCCCAGAGCUGGCACAUCCAGUCUAGCUCACAGCUUCAGCCUGCAGCUUCCGGCUUCACCCACUACACGCCCUUGCAGCCUGCUGUGUUCUAAUCGGUGACUGGCAAUCAGUGCACACAGACUAAUUGGUCCAUGGCUGCCAGACAUGAAGAAGAAAGAAAAUGUGAACGUCAAUAAUUCCACUAGGCUGUAAAAGAUGCACUACAGACACAUCGCUAUGUGGAGAUGAAGUCUGGGAUUAACACUGGAGUCAAACCAGGUGGAAAAGGAAAAGAACGAUAGAAGAACAAAGGAAGAAAGAAAGAGGUAGAGGAAAAGCAGUAUGUAAGGAGGGGAAGUGAAGGGGAGAGAAAUACGGGACAUGGAAGAAAGAGAUGGCUCAGAUGGCUUCCUGGUGCCGGUUCAAACCCUCCAUAGCCAGUCUUCUUGACCACGCCCUUCCUCCUUGCAGAGGAUGCCUGCCCUGCUCUCUGAUGGCAGUCCAGCCCUCUCGUCACUGUCUGAACCACUAACAUGCUAUCUACCUGAUCAGAUUUCCUUAAAAGACUCCAAGAAAUCCCCUACUCGAAACCGGUUCAAAGAAAAAGCUCUGCUGGGACCUUUAUCACGCUUAUCUCAAAAUUAAGGACCUGGAGAGAAAGAGCAAGGAGGGGAGAUGAAAGAAGGGGGAUUUUGAGAAUUUGCCAAAUGGUGAAAUUUUUCGCAGUCUUCUCACCCAGCCUGUCCACAGAGGGUUGUUUUGAGUCAGAACUCUUCAAAGUUCUUUUGACGUCUAUUUUCCCUCUGUCCUUAGACGCUCCACUAUACAGACAUGGAGCAAAGACCACAUUUCGUUGUGGGGCCUUGGAAUUAAUUUAAAGCACAUAGUUUCCUUUAAA